ACCGUCCCUCAUCCAACUAUGAGUUUUCUCUCAUUCACCUCCCCUUUCAUUUCAUCAAACUCAAAAACUCACUCUCAUCCUCACCUUCAAUGAACCAUCCUUCAUUUUUUCCUCCGAAUCUAGGGUUAGAAUAACUGUAGCGCCACUUCUCUCAACCUUCAGUACAAAAUCAUUGACCUUCUCCGCGAGUUUACCACCGUGAAAAGGUAAAGACAAUCUCAACUACUUCAACAUUACAUCUUGCCUUGAUAAUACCUUGGACUUGGGGAGAAACUGUGAGGCUGGCCCAUGAGAGACUUUGGAGGAUCUCAUUCUCACUUUCUUCUUCUACCAUGGACACCUCAUCAUCGUCGUUUUCGCUUUUCUCGACCUUCAUUAUUGUUUUCAUUUACUGGUAGAUUUUUUCAGAUAAUGUUUAGUUAAGUUUUACUGUGAUAUUUUGCUGGUUUGGAAUUGAAUUUUUAUCUUUUAUAUACCUUCUUAAUGGGAAUACUUUGAUAGUUUCAGUGUUCAUUUGGUGUCUUUUGAUUAUAUAAUUCAUCUCAUAGUAUUAAAGUUCAUAUCUUGUACUUAACUUACCUUAUCACGCACUUAAUUUUUAUUCAUGUAACUUAAUGCAGGAAGGUUACAAGAAUUUAGUGGAGAUUAUAUAAAGUUUUGUGGACUUCAUCGGUGUUUAGGAUGGGUAGGAAUUUGGUUCUUGUAGGAAUAUAAGCUACCACAGUUAUGCUGCAACAUUUGUCCAUCAUUUUUGAGAAACUUUAGCAUCAGUAUUUUUGACAUGGUGCAUAUACAGGAUUGAAGCAUUAGCAUUUGAAGCUGGUAAUGAGUUUGGGAUUUUGUUUUGCUUCUAGAUCCUUUUAGCGGGUAGACUUUUUUGUUUUCUUUCCUUUAUAACAGCCUGUUACGGGUGCCGAUUUUUUAUGAGACUUUUAUAGUUUCUGUAUUGUUUAGUUUUGGGUUCUAUUUUUGCUACUAUAGUGUUAUAUCAUUACUAGUACAUCCCCAUUUUUAGAAGUUGAGAAUUUGCAUACAUGAAAAAUAUGCAAGAUAUGUUACAACCGAAGAAUUUUUCGAGUUAGAAAAAUAUGCAUAUUAUGUUACAGAUGUAAAUUUAUGCAACAACGGGCAAUUAAGUUAUACAGAGGGAGGCUUGUUUGUGAAUCUGGGCCCAUACAAGAUAUCAACACCAAGAUUGCAGUUUGCUUGGACCCUGAUGGUUGGAAAUUGCUGUUAACAAAGAUAAUUUUCCUCAAAUGAUUAGAUUGGGUGCUAAAAUGCUCUCUAGCUCCAAGGACAGUAAAAUUACAGCAAUAGAGAGUAUACAAGUUCUUCUCAAAAAAUUGCAAGGUUAGUUGCUUUUAACAUACUGUGACAACUCAUCACCAUUAUUUAUGUUCCUCAAUUAUUACAAGUAACAACAAUUAUAUAUAAUACAGAAAACACAUCUUACAUAUAUACUGAAUAUAUAUUAUUUUGAGCAAUUCAUUUUUUCCAAAAAUAUAUUGUCCAUUUCUUUCAAUUUUAAGUAGGGAGGCCACUUUGUGAUGUAUUAAUAUUCUGUUUAUUUGUUUUUUAUUGAAUAAGUGGUUUCAUCAUGUUAUUCAUGUGUGAAUGGACUUUUUGUACUUAUAGAAAGUUAUAUUAUAUAAAUAAAACUAAGUUAACACUUGUUAUCAAGGUUUUAUAACAAUCGCGGUCGUGUUAUGGCCGUGUAGAGUCUCUUACAAUUUUGGUCGGUACAGGUGUUACGAUAUUGAUUGUGGUUGUUGCGGUGUCAAUUAACCAUAAUGUAUUCUUUAAUAUAAAAUGAUGAGUAACCGUAUCAGCAUUGACAACUAUCAAUAUUGUUUUGUCACACUCGCGAACCGCUUUUUAAAACCAUUGUGCAAUAUAAACAGAAUAUUAAUACAUAACAGAGUGGCCCCUACUUAUAAUAUUAACUUAGGAUGAGGUUUAAACAAUACAGGAUAAAGGAAAUCAUUGGGAGAUGAUAGCUACUUAUUAUUAACUAGUGCUUCUCAUUUCUCUAUUAACAGUUAUACUUAUUAUUACUUGGACAUGAUAGCUACUGGUGUUAUUUCACAUGCUCCUCCUUGGGUUAGACUAAUGUAUCAACCUAUAUCAUUGAGGCCAGGAUUGAGGACUAAUGGCUAUGCACCUACUGCUAGAUCAUUCCAACAGUCACAUGGACCUGUUGCAAGCUUCAUAAUUUUUCUAGCUCCGCCACUGGACGAAGGCGAAUAUUUCAAUAAUACAAGAGAAGAUUCUUCAGUUCUUUUCCAUGUAAAGGAAGACCACAACGGGGCAGAACCAUCGGGGAACUCUGUCUCCGCAAUAAAUCUUAUAAGGUUUGCUUCCAUGGUUUCUGGAAAUAAGGCAAAAAAUUAUAAGCGAGACGCAGAACAUCUAUUUAGAACUGAGUCAGUUAUGACUCACUGGAUUCCCUUUAUACGGUAUUGCAGGCAGUUUUUGAGAAAAGAUUGAAAGAUAUAGCCAUGGCAGUGCCUUUAUAAGGACAUGAACUUUAUCAUUUUGAGAAAAGAUUGAAAGAUAUAGCCAUGGCAGUUAUUUAUUUUGAAUUUAUUGUCCUACCUGAUCUUUCCACUAUUCAGUUCCUUAACAGAAGCUUUUUGCAUAGCCAUAUUAGAGGCUGCUAGUUGUGGACCUUUAAAAUGGCAAUAUUAAAUGGAUGUUCUCUAUGUCAUUAGUGCUGCUGAAUAUAUGCUAUAGUGAUCUAUCUCCACCUUUCUUAAGUAAAAUAUAAGUUUGUAUUUAAAAUUUAUAAAUUUGUACAAUAAUAUAGAUGACCUGGAGCUCUAGUAUUCAUGUCUUUCUAUUCCAAUUUCAACUAUGACUGUUGUUCGAUUUUGUUAAGCUACCCUGUUAUACAUAUCUAGUAGUAGUAAGUUUUUUAAAUUUGGGUUCCCAUCUACUUUAAGUUUUAAUUUAUUUAUUUUCUUACUUGUGAUGCUAUUAGUUUUAUAUUUGUCUAAAUUCCAAUGGUUUUAUGUUAUUUCCCGAGGUCCUACUGAACUUAAGGUUUACUGAACUUAGGAACAAUAAGUGUCUUUUGUGCUUGUUAUUAUUACACGGAUAGAAGAUAAGUUCUGUUACAAAUUGGAGUUUAUGUAUUGAACAUUUCUGACUUUUCUGUAUGACCCCCCUACUCUAACUGAUAUGGAUGCUAUGGGUAUUAUCAUAUUUACAGUAAUAACAAUAACAGAACAUUUUGUUUUAUUCAUACAACAAUCUUUAAUUGGCUGAGUAGUAUUCAUCAUUUAUAAUUUUGGCAGGUGCUUCUUUGGAUACCAUCAAAAGGAUUGUUAAGUACCUAUGCCUUGCAGACAUUAUUCCCCCAUAUACUAAAGUGGAUUUAAGUGAGUUAGAUGUGGGCCAGAAGGUGCUCAAGGGAGAUCUCAAUAUUCAUCCUGCAUCAAAACUUCUUCACUCAAAAGAUGAAGCUGUUUGUAAGAUGGUAUAGACCUUCGUCACGAGUCCAAUAUUGCAAGCUUGAAUAUAUCAGAGUGCUAAAGGCUGGAGAACUAUUCUCAUCAUGAAUAAGACCAGUAGUGCCGAUCCCUUCAGUGAAAGUUGUAACUUUUAUCUAUAUUAAAUUUUACAAGACCUAUUGAGGAGAUUGUCAUCACACUUCAUUCAUGAUCUUAACUAUUGUUUCUUUGACAAGCAGAUAAUGAUCUAUGUAUAUCAUCAUGUAAAAUUUGAAUGUAUUUAAGCACAUCACACUUCUUUCAUUGGUUGUCAGUCAAAAUUUUAUGAUUUUUUCAUCUCCAUAUUCACCCCAAAGCAACAAGAAAAGCUAAAUUAGAUUAGGUGUGAACAAUUUCUUUAUCCACUCUUUAAGCGUAUAUUGCUGAGAAGAAUCGUCGAGUAUACUUGUUAUGGAAAACUUUUCAAAUCUCUUGAACAAGGUGACAAUCUUUUUAGCAAUGAAGCAGACCUUCAUUAGUUGUAACUCAAUUACAAUCUAAAGCACAUGAGAUUACACUUUCAACUAGCAUUAUUAACAU